AUGCUGCUGCUUCUGCUGCUUCUGGGGCCAGGCUCCGGGCUUGGUGCUGUCGUCUCUCAACAUCCGAGCAGGGUUAUCUGUAAGAGUGGAACCUCUGUGAAGAUCGAGUGCCGUUCCCUGGACUUUCAGGCCACAACUAUGUUUUGGUAUCGUCAGUUCCCGAAACAGAGUCUCAUGCUGAUGGCAACUUCCAAUGAGGGCUCCAAGGCCACAUACGAGCAAGGCGUCGAGAAGGACAAGUUUCUCAUCAACCAUGCAAGCCUGACCUUGUCCACUCUGACAGUGACCAGUGCCCAUCCUGAAGACAGCAGCUUCUACAUCUGCAGUGCUAGAGA